rnacentral:rRNA from 1 species
CCUACGGGAGGCAGCAGUAGGGAAUUUUGCGCAAUGGGGGAAACCCUGACGCAGCAACGCCGCGUGAUCGAUGAAGCCCUUCGGGGUGUAAAGAUCUGUCAGUGGGGACGAAACCUGACGGUACCCACAGAGGAAGCACCGGCUAACUCCGUGCCAGCAGCCGCGGUAAUACGGGGGGUGCAAGCGUUGUCCGGAAUUAUUGGGUUUAAAGGGAGCGUAGGCCGGUCUUUAAGCGUGCCGUGAAAUUUUGUGGCUCAACCAUGAGAGUGCGGCGCGAACUGGAGACCUUGAGUGCGCGGAAGGCAGGCGGAAUUCGUGGUGUAGCGGUGAAAUGCUUAGAUAUCACGAAGAACCCCGAUUGCGAAGGCAGCCUGCCGCAGCGUUACUGACGCUGAAGCUCGAAAGCGCGGGUAUCGAACAGGAUUAGAUACCCCAGUAGUC